rnacentral:rRNA from 1 species
CCUACGGGAGGCAGCAGUGAGGAAUAUUGGUCAAUGGACGAGAGUCUGAACCAGCCAAGUAGCGUGAAGGAUGACUGCCCUAUGGGUUGUAAACUUCUUUUAUAUGGGAAUAAAAUGUUCCACGUGUGGGAUUUUGUAUGUACCAUAUGAAUAAGGAUCGGCUAACUCCGUGCCAGCAGCCGCGGUAAUACGGAGGAUCCGAGGGUUAUCCGGAUUUAUUGGGUUUAAAGGGAGCGUAGGUGGAUUGUUAAGUCAGUUGUGAAAGUUUGCGGCUCAACCGUAAAAUUGCAGUUGAAACUGUCAGUCUUGAGUACAGUAGAGGUGGGCGGAAUUCGUGGUGUAGCGGUGAAAUGCUUAGAUAUUACGAAGAACUCCGAUGGCGAAGGCAGCUUACUGGACUGCAACUGACACUGAGGCUCGAAAGUGUGGGUAUCAAACAGGAUUAGAUACCCUUGUAGUC